GCCCUAGCUCAGCAGUAGAACAUCUUCCUUGCAUGCAGAAGGUCCCAGGUUCAAUCCCUGGUGUCUCCA